GGUGGGUCUGGUAUCGAACAACUAUUCAUUUUGAAUCUUGCCCUGAAUCUGGCAAGAUGGUAACUAAACCAAUCACAACGCAGAGAUGUGUUUUGAAUCAACGCGGGCGGGGCAGAGGGUUCUGGGGCGGGGUUUUGAGGGAGUGACGACAUAGCAGUGAGACGCUGGGCAGUGGAGAAAGCACAAGAAAGAUGGCGGAGGUCUUAUCUAAAAGUCUUAUCUACCAGUUAACUCCACUGGUAGCCGAAAUGAUGGGGCUCUUUGAAAACCCGAUGGUAGUACCGGUAGUCGUCUCGCCCUUGUUAGCCCUAAUGGUAGAGCAGGCGAAGGAAGCGAGCAAUUUUGGACUCACUGCCAUGCAACUGGGCGUCGAUAACCCAGCAAACAUAAAAAUAUGUCGUCAGUGCCAGUUGGUCUUCGGAGCAGUCAGGAGGCAUGGCUUUUGCUGAACGCGACGUGUUGUCUUCCAAGACAAGGUCCUCGGAGUGGACGAGGUUCACCUCAUAUAAUGGGGGAAACGUGACAAAGGGAAGGCCUUCAGGUAUUGUUUUGGCAAGCUAGGAGAACACAUCUGACAGACAAAAAGGUUUCAUCAAAGACACACAGACAGCUCCUGAAGUAAAGGACCUACACAGGACCUUCAUAUCAAGGACAUUGACUGUGUGGAUCUCGAGGUGCAGUUACCCAAAAGUUGCUACCCACGGAAUACCAGGUUUUGAGGGAUCCUGCCAGAGCAGAGAAUCAACAGAUACAUUGAAGAGGAGACUCCGACAUGACCGCCGGCAGCUUGUGUUAUUCACCCCCACCACUUGAAAUACUGAAUGCCUGAAUUGUUGUUUGCUGCUCAGACUUUGUCAACAGAUAUGGUCUUCGACAUGUUACCCUUAGGUGUGGAAACAGAUUGUGACAGUCCAGCAAAAUGAGCCAGACAGAUAGUAACACUGAAAAAGGACAACGUUGUUCCCAUGGCCUCCCACUGCAGAAGACUACAGACGUUCAGUGAAGCACAAACAGCUGUUCCUCUUGUACUUAAUAAUUUAGUCAGCUGGAUUCUAGGUGCCACUAAGGAGCCAACAGUGGAUAAUUUUGUCAACAUUUCAAUGGCAUACAUUAAAAGGGCAGCCUGUAAUUGUUUGCCUUGCCUCCAUCUUCCUUGCCACCAAGGGGUUGUAGACCGAUGCCCUAGUCCUCCUGUUUAGGUACAACCAUGCAGUUAGGCCAGUCUAUUGAAGCAUAUACUUAUGACUGUUUGUAUGUGUUGUGUAUCUAGUAAUGGAUAAAUUACCACAUGAAUAACUGCAUAUUCAUUAUAUUGAUAAUUAUAAUGGCUUCCAUUAUUGAUUAAAAAGGGAUCUACCACCACUUGCAUUAUUGUUUUGUUAUAAAUGAAGCACUGUUAGGAAUCCAGGAAGACGGAUGCCGAGGCACUCAAGGUUGCAUUUUUUUUUUAACUUUA